rnacentral:rRNA from 1 species
UACGUAGGGUGCGAGCGUUUAAUCGGAAUUACUGGGCGUAAAGUGUGCGCAGGCGGCCGCGCAAGUCGAGUGUGAAAGCCCCGGGCUUAACUUGGGAAUUGCGCUCGAAACUACGUGGCUGGAGUGUGGCAGAGGAAGGUGGAAUUCCACGUGUAGCGGUGAAAUUCGUAGAUAUUCGCAGGAACACCAGUGGCGAAGGCGGCUUACUGGUCCAUAACUGACGCUGAGGUGCGAAAGCGUGGGGAGCAAACAGGG